rnacentral:rRNA from 1 species
UACGUAGGGCGCAAGCGUUAUCCGGAAUUAUUGGGCGUAAAGAGCUCGUAGGCGGUUUGUCGCGUCUGCUGUGAAAUCUCAAGGCUCAACCUUGAGCUUGCAGUGGGUACGGGCAGACUAGAGUGUGGUAGGGGAGACUGGAAUUCCUGGUGUAGCGGUGAAAUGCGCAGAUAUCAGGAGGAACACCGAUGGCGAAGGCAGGUCUCUGGGCCACUACUGACGCUGAGAAGCGAAAGCAUGGGGAGCGAACAGG